UAACUACACACAUUGAACACAGCUAUAAGGUAAUUUUUGCCACGUGUCCUUCUCACAGAGCUGCAGAGCGAAAUUGAGCUGGACAAACAGACAAAAAACAUACUGCUUUUGGCCAAAUUUUGAAAUGUUAUUCCCUCCUUCAGUUUCUUUACGAAAUGGGCCAACAAAUGACAGUCCAAUGCUAUCCGGCCCAGCAAAGCCCAGUCCGUCUAGAGGAAAAGCUUUGAGGCCAAACAAAAAACAGCUGUCUUGGAGACAAUAUGUUGACCCGUCCUUUUCUUUAAUCAGGUUGGUUUACUUCUUUUGACUAAGACAUUAUUUUCUUUUCUUUUACACCUUCCCAAAAACACCAUUUUGGUGAAAAACUCUACAUCAGACACAGUUUUUUUGUGGAAUCAAUUUCAAAUUUCAAAUUCAUGGGUUUCAUUUCAGUUAUUCCCUCUUCAGAUCUCUCGCUCUCUCUUCUUUCAGUUUUCUUGAAACCCCUCUCGCCUCCUUCUCAGCUUCACAUAAAAGGAAAAGAGCAUGAUAGAUCGAAUAACAAAUUAGAGUGUGACUUCUUCAACUUUGUAAAGUAGAAAGAUUCACAAAAGCAGCAAUGACAAAGAUCGAUGAAGCACAACACACAUGUUCUCCUCUAGGUUUCAUUGCUGCUUUGAAGAGAAAUGGGGUUUAAAGAGGGUGCAACCGCAAGAAAUCAAGCUGCCUAAAGAAAUAUUGUGAAUGCUAUCAGGGGGGGUGUUGUUUGCUCCAUUAGCUGCAAAUGUGAAGGGUGCAAGAAUGCAUUCGGCAGAAAGGAUGGUUUUAUCAAGUAAUUUACAAAAGAUAACACUGGUCUCUUUCCUAAUUGGCACAAGUUUAUUUGGAUGGGCAACCAAGCAAAUUAUAAAUGUUAUUCAGGCCAAAAGAUUUGUAGACUAUUGGCUACUUUGGUCCUCUAAAUGAAGUUUUCAUGCCUCAUGAUUAUUAUAUUAAGUUCAACAGUUGUUGAUGUCUUUCAGGAUCUAUUGGUUAAAGUGGAUACAAGCUAAAGGGAAAUAUGGGAAUAACUUUCAAUAUCAAGCUUUCAAUAUUUCUCACUUAAUUAGACUAACUACAAUUUAUUAAUUCUAACUUCUAUGUAUUAUGGAUUCAAUCUUACCAAGUUAGAUUGAUUGCAACUUAAGAAUUCCAAUUUUAAUGAUAAAAUGGUUCAAUCUCAUCUAAUUACAUUAAUUUUCACUUACAAAUUCGAUCUUUAUAAUACAACAGAGUAAUAUAAUCAAAGUUUUAGCAUAAAUAAUGACAUAAGAUUAUAUCUCUAAAAAACGC